GAUGAAGAACGCAGCGAAAUGCGAUAAGUAAUGUGAAUUGCAGAAUUCGGUGAAUCAUCGAAUCUUUGAACGCACAUUGCGCCCGCCAGUAUUCUGGCGGGCAUGCCUGUUCGAGCGUCAUUUCAACCAUCAAGCCCCCGGCUUGUGUUGGGGACCUGCGGCUGCCGCAGGCCCUGAAAACCAGUGGCGGGCUCGCUAGUCACUCCGAGCGUAGUAAUACAUCUCGCUCAGGGCGUGCUGCGGGUUCCGGCCGUUAAAAGCCUUAUUUUACCCAAGGUUGACCUCGGAUCAGGUAGGAAGACCCGCUGAACUUAAGCAUAUCAAUAAGCGGAGGA
rnacentral:misc_RNA from 1 species